rnacentral:rRNA from 1 species
CGUGAGUAACCUGCUUUGGAGUGGGGAAUAACACAUCGAAAGAUGUGCUAAUACCGCAUAAUGCAGUUGGGCCGCAUGGCUCUGACUGCCAAAGAUUUAUCGCUCUGAGAUGGACUCGCGUCUGAUUAGCUGGUUGGCGGGGUAACGGCCCACCAAGGCGACGAUCGGUAGCCGGACUGAGAGGUUGACCGGCCACAUUGGGACUGAGACACGGCCCAGACUCCUACGGGAGGCAGCAG